CAGCACUAAUCUGGCAUUAGCCAUGGGCCAAUCAAAUUGCUAUCGCUGAUGCUUACUACUUACCGGAUCCACAUGCCGGCCCAUUUCAACACUAUAUGAAAUCACUAUUGUUACCUACUUACUUAUGUGCAUCUCACUAUUUUGUUGAUCAACGAGUUCUAACAUCAUUCUAUUGGGUUUAAAUCAGUACAGUAUUAUUAUUUUUAUAUUAAUGUUACCAUGUUCUAUGAUGUGGUAUAACUGCAGUAUACUACAAUGUUCUAUCAUUUCAAAACUGUAGUAUACUACUAGAUGUUCUUUUUUUUAGGCCUUCUCUUUGGAAAUUUCUAAAAAAAAUGUUUGGUGGUUGUACUUUUCUCUAUAUGCAUCUUCAACACCAGCUGAUUCACGUGCAUCUUGUGUAUCCUAGCCUCUGUAGCAUCUUUGUUUGUUUGUCAAGAGUUUCUUGGGUUUGGCGUGCACAUGCAUGUGGUGUACCCUAUAAGAAAGAGAAUAUUGACAAUGUAUCCAAUAGUUGAGGCUAUUGCCAAAAUACAUGCCAAAAUACAGCUUCACAUCUGACUCAUGUGUUUGUUCAUUGUAGGCUGAGUGGCAUGAGAGUGGCUGAAAACGCGCAGAAAACAGCACCUACGGCAGCCCAGGCUAGCACGUCGACAUGUCGAUGCCUACCCAUCACGGCUCCCUUGAAGCCACCUCUACCUCAUCGCCCAGUCACCCGUCUCUUCCAAGCAGCCCACAACAGGAAUAGGGGUGGUAAAAUGGGCGCCCUUGUGACUGAUAGCUCAACCUACAAAGCAGGCCAGCAACGGACCAAACGUGAAGGUCCUAAUAUCCAACGGGG